CGGCGUCCCUGCUGCCCCUACAGCGCGGGCCCCGGGCGCUGUUUCCUCUGCCCACUCCGUGCUGGCCCGGGUCCCAGAGCGGCUCGGAGCAGAGAUCACAGUGCAGGGCGAGGCGGCCCCUCUCCACCCUCCAGUUUAAUCCCCCUGCAGCCUUUAUAGGAAACAUUUAGAACAAACUGGCAUGCCACUAGCUGCCCGCAGUCCUCAGGUAAGCUCUAGUUUGGCUUGAGAAGUAUACUUAAAUGAUUUGGAUUCGUUGUCAACUUUAAAUGGUUAGGAAACUUCACCUAAAAAGCCAGAUUGGAAAAAAAAAAAAAGGAUAUGACUACCCGGAGCCUACAUUCCCUAAGGAUAAGAACCGGCUCAAGCUGAGUAGUUUUCCAAUGAGCCCCCCAUGGUUCCCUGAAGGCCCUUUGGUUUGCAACGUCCCUGCCUGGCUUACAAGUCUUCAGGAGCUUGCAGCCUAGGUUUGGGGUGUUUUGAGUUGUGUCCCUGCAUGCGUGUUGGGAGCAGUCAGUAACCGGUUUACAGUGGGGGCUCCCAGGCCGGGCUUCUGGGAUCUGAGCGCAUGCGGGGGGCAGGCUCAGACAGUCUGACAGGCGUCGAGGUACAGGGGUCUCUCCUGGGAAGCUGGAAGCCUGGGUGGCACCCGAAGGUGGUUGUGUAGCUGUUCAGCAUCACCGAUCCAGAUAAAAGGGUGAGCAGUGUUCUUUCCAACUCAACUUUUGGCGAGUGUAGUGGGGCGGCGAGUUCAAGAUCAUGAACUUGGCAAAUGCUCUUCUGAGUUGCUGGGGUUAGUCCUGAGUCAGGUGCUGUCGGCCACAGUGGUGCUCGCCAGGUGUGAGGGGCCUGGCUUAAAGAGGAGCACUUCCCCAGGAUAGCUCUGGUGCUGGCUGGAGAGACGCUGAGGCGAGGAAGACGCCAGGGACAGAGGAGAGGGCGAAGACAAGUCUGUGGAUCGUUCAGCCAUGAAGCAUGUGGGAUCUUCGCCCCCUGAUCAGGGAGUGAACCCACACCCGCUGCAUUGGAAGCAGAAGCCUUAAGCACUGGAUCACCAGGGCAGUGCCUUCCCUGACUGUCGAUGUUAACUGCACCUACAAAAUCCCUUAACAGCCGCACCUAGACUCAAGUUUGAUCACCUAACUGUGUGCCAGAAUUAACACCCCUGGAAGGGUCAUCCCAGGAGACACGGGUUCAAUCCCUGAUCCAGGAAGAUCCCAUAUGCUGCGGAGCA